GCCGGUUUAGCUUAGUGGUAGAGCGUCAGUUUUGUAAACUUUAGGUCGGCGGUUCAAUCCCGCCAUCCGGCU
rnacentral:tRNA from 1 species